rnacentral:snRNA from 1 species
AUAGUAGAUUUUAUGCUAAGAUCUUAAUGUAAAUUACUUAUUUCAGUAACAUCUGAAUAAUUACUUUUUAAAUUUUUUUUUUUGUUAUUCACCCAAUACUUGUGGAU